AAGCAUCUGAGCCAGCUAAACAUGGCUUCAGAGGAGGGAUCACUGCGUGCACUGGAGAGCCUUAUGACUGAGUUUUUUCACAGCUGCACAACCAAUGAGCGGAAGAGAGAAAUUGAAGAGCUGCUGAAUAACUUUGCACAGCAGACUGGAGCAUGGCGCCACUGCUUGUUCUUUCUCUCCAAUACUCAGAAUGAGUAUGUAAUGAUGUACAGCCUCACAGUUUUUGAAAACCUGGUAAACAGAU